GGGAUUGUGGCUUAGUGGUAGAGUGCUUGCCUAGCAUACAUGAAGCCCUGGGUUCAAUUCCUCAGUACCA
rnacentral:tRNA from 1 species